rnacentral:misc_RNA from 1 species
UACGUGGGUGGCAAGCGUUGUCCGGAAUUAUUGGGCGUAAAGCGCGCGCAGGCGGUCCCUUAAGUCUGGUGUGAAAGCCCCCGGCUCAACCGGGGAGGGUCAUUGGAAACUGGGGAACUUGAGUGCAGGAGAGGAAAGUGGAAUUCCACGUGUAGCGGUGAAAUGCGUAGAGAUGUGGAGGAACACCAGUGGCGAAGGCGACUUUCUGGUCUGUGACUGACGCUGAGGCGCGAAAGCGUGGGGAGCAAACAGG